rnacentral:rRNA from 1 species
UACGGGGGGGGUAAGCGUUGUUCGGAAUUACUGGGCGGAAAGGGCUCGUAGGCGGCCAACUAAGUCAUACGUGAAAUCCCUCAGCUUAACUGGGGAACUGCGUGUGAUACUGGAUGGCUUGGAUUUGGGAGAGGGAUGCGGAAUUCCAGGUGUAGCGGUGAAAUGCGUAGAUAUCUGGAGGAACACCGGUGGCGAAGGCGGCAUCCUGGACCAAUAUUGACGCUGAGGAGCGAAAGCGUGGGGAGCGAACAGG